rnacentral:rRNA from 1 species
GACGAACGCUGGCGGCGUGCUUAACACAUGCAAGUCGAACGAAGUGGCGAACGGGUGAGUAACGCGUCAGCAACCUGCCCUUCAGUGGGGGACAACAGUUGGAAACGACUGCUAAUACCGCAUACUGUAGGAGGGGGUUGCGUUUGAUUAGCUAGUUGGGGGGGUAACGGCCCACCAAGGCGAUGAUCAGUAGCCGGUCUUGGAGGAUGAACGGCCACAUUGGGACUGAGACACGGCCCCGACUCCUACGGGAGGCAGCAGUGGGGAAUCUUCCGAAAUGGACGGAAGUCUGACGGAGCAACGCCGCGUGAGUGAUGACGGCCUUCGGGUUGUAAAGCUCUGUUAAUCGGGACGCGGUACCGGAAUAGAAAGCCACGGCUAACUACGUGCCAGCAGCCGCGGUAAUUC